ensembl:misc_RNA Metazoa_SRP Metazoan signal recognition particle RNA
CCUGGGCGUGGUGGCGCACGCCUGUAAUCCCAGCUACUCAGGAGGCUGAGGCACGAGAAUCGCUUGAACCCAGGAGGUGGAGGUUGCAGUGAGCCAAGAUCACGCCACUGCACUCCACCCUGGGUGAAAGAGUGAGAUUUUAUCUCAA